rnacentral:rRNA from 1 species
GACGAACGCUGGUGGCGUGCUUAACACAUGCAAGUCGAACGGAAAGGCCCUGCUUUUGUGGGGUGCUCGAGUGGCGAACGGGUGAGUAACACGUGAGUAACCUGCCCUUGACUUUGGGAUAACUUCAGGAAACUGGGGCUAAUACCGGAUAGGAGCUCCUGCUGCAUGGUGGGGGUUGGAAAGUUUCGGCGGUUGGGGAUGGACUCGCGGCUUAUCAGCUUGUUGGUGGGGUAGUGGCUUACCAAGGCUUUGACGGGUAGCCGGCCUGAGAGGGUGACCGGCCACAUUGGGACUGAGAUACGGCCCAGACUCCUACGGGAGGCAGCAGUGGGGAAUAUUGCACAAUGGGCGGAAGCCUGAUGCAGCAACGCCGCGUGCGGGAUGACGGCCUUCGGGUUGUAAACCGCUUUCGCCUGUGACGAAGCGUGAGUGACGGUAAUGGGUAAAGAAGCACCGGCUAACUACGUGCCAGCAGCCGCGGUGAUACGUAGGGUGCGAGCGUUGUCCGGAUUUAUUGGGCGUAAAGGGCUCGUAGGUGGUUGAUCGCGUCGGAAGUGUAAUCUUGGGGCUUAACCCUGAGCGUGCUUUCGAUACGGGUUGACUUGAGGAAGGUAGGGGAGAAUGGAAUUCCUGGUGGAGCGGUGGAAUGCGCAGAUAUCAGGAGGAACACCAGUGGCGAAGGCGGUUCUCUGGGCCUUUCCUGACGCUGAGGAGCGAAAGCGUGGGGAGCGAACAGGCUUAGAUACCCUGGUAGUCCACGCUGUAAACGGUGGGUACUAGGCGUGGGGUCCAUUCCACGGGUUCCGUGCCGUAGCUAACGCUUUAAGUACCCCGCCUGGGGAGUACGGCCGCAAGGCUAAAACUCAAAGGAAUUGACGGGGCCCCGCACAAGCGGCGGAGCAUGCGGAUUAAUUCGAUGCAACGCGUAGAACCUUACCUGGGUUUGACAUGGAUCGGGAGUGCUCAGAGAUGGGUGUGCCUCUUUUGGGGUCGGUUCACAGGUGGUGCAUGGCUGUCGUCAGCUCGUGUCGUGAGAUGUUGGGUUAAGUCCCGCAACGAGCGCAACCCUUGUUCACUGUUGCCAGCACGUUAUGGUGGGGACUCAGUGGAGACCGCCGGGGUCAACUCGGAGGAAGGUGGGGAUGACGUCAAGUCAUCAUGCCCCUUAUGUCCAGGGCUUCACGCAUGCUACAAUGGCUGGUACAGAGAGUGGCGAGCCUGUGAGGGUGAGCGAAUCUCGGAAAGCCGGUCUCAGUUCGGAUUGGGGUCUGCAACUCGACCUCAUGAAGUCGGAGUCGCUAGUAAUCGCAGAUCAGCAACGCUGCGGUGAAUACGUUCCCGGG